rnacentral:rRNA from 1 species
UACAGAGGUGGCAAGCGUUGUCCGGAUUUAUUGGGCGUAAAGAGCGUGUAGGCGGCCAGGUAGGUCCGUUGUGAAAACUCGAGGCUCAACCUCGAGCUGUCGAUGGAAACCAUCUGGCUAGAGUCCGGAAGAGGAGAGUGGAAUUCCCGGUGUAGCGGUGAAAUGCGCAGAUAUCGGGAAGAACACCCGUGGCGAAGGCGGCUCUCUGGGACGGUACUGACGCUGAGACGCGAAAGCGUGGGGAGCGAACAGG